rnacentral:rRNA from 1 species
AGAGUUUGAUCCUGGCUCAGGAUGAACGCUGGCGGCGUGCUUAACACAUGCAAGUCGAACGGGGAUUAUUUCAUUGAAGCUUCGGCAGAUUUGGCUUAAUCCUAGUGGCGGACGGGUGAGUAACGCGUGGGUAACCUGCCUUGUACAGGGGGAUAACAGUCAGAAAUGACUGCUAAUACCGCAUAAGCGCACAGGACCGCAUGGUCCGGUGUGAAAAACUCCGGUGGUAUAAGAUGGACCCGCGUUGGAUUAGCUAGUUGGCAGGGUAACGGCCUACCAAGGCGACGAUCCAUAGCCGGCCUGAGAGGGUGAACGGCCACAUUGGGACUGAGACACGGCCCAG